CGGCGAGGCCCUGCCCGGCUUGCGAGGGUGCGGGCCCCGGCGUGACGUACUGCCGGCCUCACCCCAGCGUCUGUCGGGCGUUUGCGGCCCGAUGCUGUCGGGGCUGCACAGGCCGCUGCCCCGUCCUCAGCCAUGUUAAAAGAGUACAGUUUGAAAGAACCGGAGGUACCAGAGGAGAAUCGUGGAGAAAAAUAUGUAUGUGUUUUGAAAAAUUAUUCUUGUCUAGAUGGCAAAGUUUCUCAGAGCUGUGAGCCUGAGGGUUGUUUCCUCUCUUGCAUCUCCUGUCAAGCGGCAGGUGAAGGUUCUUCUCACAUCUAUUUCAAUAUUCCAGUAUCUAGGGGAAAGAUAGAAAAUGUGCCCCAGACAACCAGAACUGUGACAUGGAAAUCCAGCCACUGCCUCCAGAGAUGUGGAGACCUGCAGUGUCCAGAGGAAGGUGCCGUGCUCCCCCCCCCCCCACUCCCCUUCUCCCCUCUGCUCCCGAAGCUGCUGUGCUGGUGAGUGAGGGGCAGCUGAUAUUGGGCAGCCAAUUUUGCUGACAAGGGAGGGGAAGGAUCCACUAUUCCUUCCUAUAAGCUCCCCCAGGGACUGUGCCAUGUAGAAAAUAUUUGAAGAUUACCUUUUGGGGCUAUAUUUUUUAUUUGGAAAGAUGUAGAAUGUAAGGUACCAGAAAACUAUGAGGCAAAUUGCUCUGUCUGGUUACCCUGACUCCAGCUCUGUUUAGGAAGUAAAAAGGUAAAUUUGGUAUACAUGCUUCUCAUCUCUAUGGCCUUUCUAGGCAGCACCAAGGUUCGGAGCGACAACUGCUCUGGAACAGCAGAGACAUCUAGUGGGAAUCAGAUUUUUACUGUGUCAGCUCAGCAGAGAUGCCACCUUUUAAAACAUAGCCUUUACAUUAUAGUGUGUUCAGAACUGAUGCCCAAGAGCUGAAAGGCUUCUUAUAUCAUUACUAUCCUUACAACCAUGUAUCCCCAGUUUAUAUUCCAUUUCUGAAGGAGCAAAAGGAUAGCCAAGAUGUGAUUUUGAUUUUUACCU